rnacentral:rRNA from 1 species
GACGAACGCUGGCGGCAUGCCUAAUACAUGCAAGUCGAGCGAACAGAUGAAGUGCUUGCACUUCUGACGUUAGCGGCGAACGGGUGAGUAACACGUAAGGAAUCUACCUAUAAGCGGGGGAUAACAUUCGGAAACGGGUGCUAAUACCGCAUAAUAUCUUCUUCCGCAUGGAAGAAGAUUGAAAGACGGCUCUGCUGUCACUUAUAGAUGACCUUGCGGUGCAUUAGUUAGUUGGUGGGGUAACGGCCUACCAAGACGAUGAUGCAUAGCCGAGCUGAGAGGGUGAUCGGCCACAUUGGGACUGAGACACGGCCCAAACUCCUACGGGAGGCAGCAGUAGGGAAUCUUCCGCAAUGGGCGAGAGCCUGACGGAGCAAUGCCGCGUGAGUGAAGAAGGCCUUCGGGUCGUAAAACUCUGUUAUAAGAGAAGAACAAAUUGUAGAGUAACUGCCACAGUCUUGACGGUAUCUUAUCAGAAAGCCACGGCUAACUACGUGCCAGCCGCCGCCGUAA